rnacentral:lncRNA from 1 species
GGUGCGGACACCAGUGCCAGGUCAACCGGUCGCCACAGGAUCCAGCCAGCUCAGCGGAUCCCAGCCGAUUCAGCCAGCCUGAUUUUAUUUUAGAUUGAUUUAUUUUAGUUAGAUUUAUUUUAUGUUGAUUGAAUUUAUUUGCAUAUUGUCAUUUGGGUUUAUUUGCAAAUUGUCAUUUUAGGGCCUUUUCGGGAUUGUUUUAUUUAUAGGGAUCUAUUUGUUAUUUUGUGACCCUAUUUAUAUGGGUUCACUCUCAUGUUUAGGUUUUUGGAUGAAUGAUGAAUAAAAAUUAGCCUCCUUGUCUUCUUCUCCCUCCUCCUCUUCUCCUCCUUCUCUUUCCCCCCUCCUCUUCUCCUUCCUUUCCUCUCCUUUCUGCAGUUGUCCUGCAUCAGCUUUGGUAUCAGAGCAUCCGGUUUUGCCUCUGUUGCCAAAACCCUUUUCUUUUCUAGGCUGCCGUGGGUCAAGCUACGGAUGAGGAAAAAAAAAACAAAGAAUCCCUAUUCCCGUGGCCAUCAUCCUCCCAAGGGAAAAGCCCCUAAGACGAUUCCCCCACCCCACCCCGCGCACGUCCGACACCUCCAACG